GGAUAGGGAGCAACAAAGGUCUUGGAGGCGGUCCUGGAAGAGCAAACAUUCCUUUAAAGCCAUUAAGCUUUGGAGAAGGAGGCCUUGUAGGGAUCGGUUUCCCAAUUCUUCUGCCGAUGAUGACGGCCGCCAUGUUUUGAGCAGAGAGUUGAGUGAUUAGGGGAAGUGUUGGAUUAGCUUCACAAGUCUGCAACAUUAAGCCAUGGAUAAGAAUGAGGAGUAAACAGCAGGAAGAAGAAGGGGAAAUAUCCAUUGAAAUUAAAAAU
rnacentral:lncRNA from 1 species